rnacentral:rRNA from 1 species
AGCAGUCGCCGCGGUAAUACAGAGGGUGCAAGCGUUAAUCGGAAUUACUGGGCGUAAAGCGCGCGUAGGUGGUUCGCCAAGUUGGAUGUGAAAUCCCCGGGCUCAACCUGGGAACUGCAUCCAAAACUGGCGAGCUAGAGUAUGGUAGAGGGUGGUGGAAUUUCCUGUGUAGCGGUGAAAUGCGUAGAUAUAGGAAGGAACAUCAGUGGCGAAGGCGACCACCUGGACUGAUACUGACACUGAGGUGCGAAAGCGUGGGGAGCAAACAGGAUUAGAUACCCCUGUAGUCCCUGUCUCUUAUAC